GACGAACGCUGGCGGCGUGCUUAACACAUGCAAGUCGAACGGAAAGGCCCUGCUUUUGUGGGGUGCUCGAGUGGCGAACGGGUGAGUAACACGUGAGUAACCUGCCCUUGACUUUGGGAUAACUUCAGGAGACUGGGGCUAAUACCGGAUAGGAGCUCCUGCUGCAUGGUGGGGGUUGGAAAGUUUCGGCGGUUGGGGAUGGACUCGCGGCUUAUCAGCUUGUUGGUCGGGGAGUGGCUUACCAAGGCUUUGACGGGUAGCCGGCCUGAGAGGGUGACCGGCCACAUUGGGACUGAGAUACGGCCCAGACUCCUACGGGAGGCAGAAGUGGGGAAUAUUGCACAAUGGGCGGAAGCCUGAUGCAGCAACGCCGCGUGCGGGAUGACGGCCUUCGGGUUGUAAACCGCUUUCGCCUGUGACGAAGCGUGAGUGACGGUAAUGGGUAAAGAAGCACCGGCUAACUACGUG
rnacentral:rRNA from 1 species